UACGAAGGGGGCUAGCGUUGCUCGGAAUUACUGGGCGUAAAGGGCGCGUAGGCGGACAGUUUAGUCAGAGGUGAAAGCCCAGGGCUCAACCUUGGAAUUGCCUUUGAUACUGGCUGUCUUGAGUUCGGGAGAGGUGAGUGGAAUGCCGAGUGUAGAGGUGAAAUUCGUAGAUAUUCGGCGGAACACCAGUGGCGAAGGCGACUCACUGGCCCGAUACUGACGCUGAGGCGCGAAAGCGUGGGAGCAAACAGG
rnacentral:rRNA from 1 species